rnacentral:misc_RNA from 1 species
GAUGAAGAACGUAGCGAAAUGCGAUAAGUAGUGUGAAUUGCAGAAUUCAGUGAAUCAUCGAAUCUUUGAACGCACAUUGCGCCCCUUGGUAUCCCGAGGGGCAUGCCUGUUCGAGCGUCAUUUCACCACUCAAGCCUGGCUUGGUGUUGGGCGACGUCCUCUUUGGGGACGCGCCUCGAAACGCUCGGCGGCGUGGCACCGGCUUUAAGCGUAGCAGAAUCUUUCGCUUUGGAAGUCGGGGCCCCGUCUGCCGGAAGACCUGCUCGCAAGGUUGACCUCGGAUCAGGCAGGGAUACCCGCUGAACUUAAGCAUAUCAAAAAGCGGAGGA